AGAGGGUGUAGCGGGGACGGGCACGUGGCAGGAGGGAAAGGCAGCUGCAGGAGGCGUGGACAGGGAAAGGGCUGCGAGCAGCGUGGGGACAGGGACAGAGCACAGGGAUGAGCGACCCAGCGGAAAAGCACCUGGGGGUGCUGAUCGACAGCGGCGGAACGGGAGCCCAAGGCGUGCCCGGGUGGGUGGGAAGGCCGGCGGCAUCCUGGCCUCCGUCGGGAAUAGCGUGGCCAGCAGAACCAGGAUCGUCCCCCUGUGCUGGGCACUGGUGAGACCACACUGAGUGCUGUGCCCAGUUCUGAGCCCCUCAGUUCGGGAAGGACGCUGAGGGGCUGGAGCACAGCCAGAGAAGGGCAGCGGAGCCGGGGAAGGUCUGGAGCACGGGUCUGCGGGUGUUCAGCCUGGAGAAGAGGAGGCUCAGGGGGCACUUAGCGCUCCACAACUCCCUGACAGGAGGGUGGAACCAGGUGUGGGUCGGGCUCUGCUCCCAGGGAAUAAGUGACAGGACGAGGGGACAUAGUCUUCUGCUGCACCAGGGGAGGUUUAGAUCGGACGUAAGAAAGAUUUCCUCAUGGAAGGGGUGAUUAGACAUUAGAAUGGACUGGCCAGGGCAGCGGUGGAGCCGCUGUCCCCAGAGGUGUGUAAGGAAAGGCUGGCCACGGCACUCCGUGCCACGGUCUGCUUGGCAGCGUGGUGUUCAGUCAGAGGCUGGACUCGGGGAUCUUGGAGGUCUUUUCCAACCUAAUUGAUUGUGUGAUUCUGUGAGGUCAGGGACAGGGCAUGGGGCUGAGGGAGCAGUGGGCAGUGUGGGGAAAGGGAUGGGGAGAUGCUGUGCCUGAGCGUGGGGUCUUGCAGUGAGUACCCCUUGUGUGAGGACACGAGGCUUGACUCCAUUUUCAUCAGAAGGCUGAUUUAUUAUGUUAUAUAUUAUAUUAAAAUACUACAUUACAACUAUACUAAAAGAACAAAGAGAAGAAGAUCAGAAGGCUACAAAGACAAGAAUAGAAUAGGAAUCAAUAACAAAAUCCUGUGACUUAUAUGCAGUAUAUUAAUUCUACAUUGAUAUCAAUAAAUAUUUUUCAUAUUUUGUCUAAUUGUCCAAUUAUACUUUCUGUUUGGAAUCAGACUAUAGGGAAAUUUCACCAGUAAAGAAAUGUGUAUGGACUUUUUUUAUUUACGUGUCUGUGCAUUUGUUUCCUCUUGGAAUACAGAAAUUUAAGAGUCAAGGUGUCCCUGUAGCUGAUCCUGAUCACAGCUGUCCCUGUCCCUUGGCACAGGUGGCUGUGAGUGGUCACCAACUGAAAACAAUCCACAAGGACCAAUGGAAGAUGCACCUGUGGCAUUCCACAGCAGCACACAGUUAUUGUUUACAUUUCUUUCCUGAGGCUCUCAGCUCCGCAGGACAGGAAAAAUCCUAGCAGAGGCUUUUUCACUAAAAUAUCAUAGCUACAGUGGGGUUAUGGGGAUGCUGCAUGGGGGAGUGAGGACAAUAUAUAGGGGAGAUAAGGACAAUGUAUAGGAGAAAGGGUGCUGUGCAAAGGGUGUGAGGACAGACUGUGGGAAACCAUGUGGUGCAAAGAAGGGAUAUGGAUGGUGCAUGUGGGAACUGGUGCUGCACAGAGUGGAGAGGCAGUGCAUGGGGAGAAGGAGAGCAUGCUCUGCAGGGAGUGGGAGGCUAGGGUGAAUAGGAGAAAAUAGCUGUGCAGGAUGAGAGAGAUGCUCUGAGUGUGAUGGAGUACGUGUGUGAGGGACUGGGGCAGGUGUGUGAGAAAGUUUGGGGCUCUGUGGAAGGGCUGGGUGCACAGGAAAUGGGGAGGUAGGUGAAAUUAUUUGGGAUAGAGGACAGCAAAGGUUGGGUUGGGUGUUUAAUGGACAGAGGGGACAUGCAGGGGCACAAGGAGAAGAAACAGACUGGACAUGAAGGGUCAAGGGUCUCUUGUCAGGUUGGGGUGAUUGUGUGAAUGCUCUGGAGGAUAAAACAUGGAAAAAGGCCACAUCAAGAAGACAACAGCAUUUAAAAGGGGAGAGAAGGAAAAUGGUGUGGGAAGGAUAUCGUGUUUGAAAGGGGAGAAAUGGAAAAUCUGUACAGGGAAUGUGUAUAAGGAGAAAGAAACAUAAGCAAAAGCAUGGGAAAGAGCUUAGCAGUGAAACAAGCGGCUCUGAUGGAUGGUAUAGCUGUGGGGAAGAAAGAGGAAUUCUUUCUGUGGUGGAGAAUGCAGCACUGCAAAUUGGAGUUUGGGAGUUUACUGUAGGCUAGGAGUUGUCGGAUGCCAUUCCUGUCUUCCAGCUCAGGGUGCUGGCAUUACUUUUUUUACAGCUUAUGAGCAGCUCUUGUAUCCUUCACUUUUUCCUGUUUUGAUGUGGAGACUACGUUUUUAAGGGCUUUUUCUGCUUUUUCCCUCCCACCCAAAAUUACGCAGGACAGAUGGCGUGCAAGCUAGAGCGCAUUUUGGGAUGCCUUUAUCCUUAAAAAAUAAAUCUGAAGGAAAAGAGAGAAGUGCACCAUACUGAGGUUUUUUUACCCUUAUGGAUGAAUUGCACAGUACUUAAAAUUUCUUUAAGGUAUAGCCUUUCUUUUUUUGUGUAAGUCCUGAGAUGUGAUUGUAAGUCUUGAGUCUGUGAUUUUGUGAGUGCAGGCCUUGUUUCACACCAGAAAUAUUUUAAGGAAAUUAGGAUAUGGAUGACUUACACUGGUACAGUUCUUUAUGUCCCAAAACAGAUGCUUCUGUUGUGGAUAAUUUUUUUUUCCUCAGUAUAAACUGAGUGAUGCAAGCUAGUCUGAAAAGACGUAUUUGUGCUGCAAUAAGUGUCUUCAUCAUGUGUGCUUGUAUAUUAAUAUGUUUAUGACUGAUUAAAAUCCUCUGGAAUGGGGAGAAAAGUAAUUUACUAUGUAAGAAGGACUUUGUAUCUCCCCAAAGGGUGGAGAAUUUACAAAGGAAUGUAUAUUUCUUUUAAGUCAGAAACCAUGUACUUUCUGAAAGCAACAUUUUCUGGUAAGUUACACCUUUCAGAGACUUUUGAUUACGUUAGUAAAUUUCCACCAAAAUUGAAUGAAACGCCUUGGUCUGAGACUUCUUGGAUUGUGUGGUCUGAUGAUCUCAGAGACUCUUACCGUGUGGAGCAUUUGCAGUGUCAGAGGUGCCUGGGGUGCUGUUUUUGGGUCCCUGGCUCAUGGUUGGUAGGGCUGGGUGUCUCAGAGAACAUUGUCUAAGGUUUGCAGAGGAUGAGGGAUGUCAGGUUCUUUAUUGCAGGGCUGGGAAUUGAAUGGGGCUUUUGGUAUCUGUGGAGUUCAGAGCUACUGGUUGUGCAAAAAUAUUCCUCACAUCUUUUCAAGAUCCACAGCAGCUUCUGUGUGUGUGUUAUUACAUGUUGAAUACAGAUGCAUUUAUUAAUAAUUUUUUUUACAUUCAUAAUAAAAAGCAAAAGGGAGUGGAAAGCUCUGAGACACUGAUUUUUCUUUUUACAUGUAGCAAAACCUUUUAUUCUGCCAAGCUACAUGUUAAGAUUUUAGAAUCUUGCAUCUGUUUACUGAAGGAGUGAGUCCUCUACUUCUCUAUAUUAAUAUGAAAUGGCCAAGUUCUUGCUAAUAAGUCAUGUAGAAUCCCUAUAAAACAUUGGAAAUCCCUUCUUUUAUUCUCUCAGGGUUGGAGGAAGGUGUGAGAUCACAGUUACGUUUUCUCUGGCAGUAUUUACAUUGAGCUAAUUAUGUGCCUGGUGUAGGAAGCCUCAACACUGAUGCCUUUCACAGAGGAGAAGUUUGGUGUAGCCAGUAUUUUCCAGUGCAGAUGUGUGAGUCCUUUAGAAAGUUCCUUUCCUUUUUUUUUGAUGUUUUAGCAGUUGAGAUUUUGGUGUGCUGAGAAAGCGUGGGCUUGUGCUUGGAUGUGAAUGAGGGAAUUUGCUUUGCUCUCCAUGAAGUCUUGGGAAAAUGCAGUCUUGUUAAGUGUGUUGGACAAGAGGGUAGAAUCAUAGAAUCAUUUAGGUUGUAGGAGAACUUUAAGAUGAUCAAGUUCAGCUGUUAACCCAGCACUGCCAAGUCCAUCACUGAACCAUGUUCCUGAGUGCCACAGCUACAUGCACAAGAUGAACCAAGAAGGUGGAAGUAAGUGAAGGACAAAAAAUAUGUGUUCUGCACAGGGUAACAAUGCUUUUUGGCAAAAUGGCUCGCCUUGAAGAUCCUUUGGAGCUUUUUUAAGGAAGUUGGUAAGUGGGCAGAGCAGAUAGUUGGAUUUUCAAGGGAAGGUCAGCAAGAUCUUCCACCAGAAGCCUUUUAGGUAAGUGGACAAAGCAGAAAGUUGGAUUUUCAAGGCAAAGUCAGCAGGAUCCUUCACCAGAAGCUUUUAUAGAAUCUGAGCUGUCAUUGAUAAGGAAAAGUUUUUACAGAGCAGAGUAGCUCUUCAAAUGAUAACAGAUAUAAUCUAGAGAGUACAGAAGGAGGUGCCAGCGAAAUUCCAUAGAAUCUGGACUGAUGAUCUGGAAAACAGGUGACUGGUGAGUUAGUGAGGUUUGUGGGCAAUACUGAAUUGAUUGGGGUAGUAAAUACUGCAGAAGAAAUACUGUUGCUUUUAGUGGAUGGGUGGUAGGAUAGCAGAUGGGGUCAGGAGUUGCUGUGAGAGUUAGCAUUGUUCCUUUCUUUCACAUGUGGGAUGGUUUCUUUUUCUACAUCCAGACUGGCUAGGGUAACAUUGGAAGGAAAUCCCUAGGUCAUAAUGGAUAGCUUUAUAAAAACAAAUUGCUCAAUGUUCAUUCAUGGUACAAAAGAACCUGGGUGGGGAGGGGGUUGUUAAAAGAGCCCAUACAGCAUGCCUCUACACUGUUACAUAUCCACAGUGUUACCUCCAGCUGAAAUGCUGUUUGCAGUUCUGGUGGGUUUUUCCUUUCCUCCCCCUCCCCAGGAAAAACCUCUAAUAAAGCUAGAAAAGAUACAGAGAGGAAGAUGGAGUGAUUAAGAGGAGAGCUUCCCGAAGUGCUUCUCAGUUAGGCUGACUGAAUAGACUCAGCCUCUUCAGACUGGAAAAGAGAUGAUUGAAUGGGGCCAUAGCAGAGAUUUGUAAAUGCAGUAAAAUAACAGAGCAAGGAUGAGCAACUGCUCAGGGUCACAUAAUGAAAAGCUAGAGAGGGCUAAGAAAUCAAGCAGCUAACUGAUUGCAGUGGUAGUGGGUAGGAGGUUCAGAAGCAUUAGGAGGUUUUGUUUGGUUGGUUUUGGUUUUUACAGAAACCCCCAUGUGAAUCCAAAGUUGUGAAUGUUAAAAGUUUACAUGAGCUUAAAAUGAUUGGGCAGACAGAAUAAAAACGUGUCGUGGCCAUUAAAGAAUACUUAUUUCUGAUUCAGGAAAUCCUUGAGCCACAGAUCUCUAGACACUGGGAGAUUAUAUGAGAGGACUAUCACAGCAAGCUUUCCUCCUGUAUUUUGUGUUACCCUUGUAGUCAUGUAUAUUAAUGGGCUUUCUCAUUCAGAGGUGAGAUACUGGACUAGUUUUUCAGUCUGAUUUGCCACAGCUGUUCUUUUGACACUUCACAGGAAGAUCAUGUUCUUUGAGCUUUACAGAGCUAAUCCCACCAUUCCUUUCAAUGCUGUCUGUCUGAAACACUGGCAAGUCAGCUCUUCUUGCAAAGUACCUGUCACUUCUGGGUUGUGAGCUGCUGACAGGAGAAAAACUGAAGCUGAAGAGAGUAAGAGAAAGCUGAGCAUGGAGCAAACCUGACAGCCCAGAUCUCUCUUCAGGUUUUUGUUUAAAGAAGCUGAAAAAGGUGAAGGCUGGGACUUCUGACACUAAUCAAAGGAGAAGAAAAGUCCCACCUGGAAAGGUUGAUGUGCAGGCAGCAAGCUGGAAGAUGUAACUGAGAAAUACAGCACAAAGAAACAAUGCUGCAAGGUGUACUGAGCUUGUGAUCCUCAAGCAUACUGUCUGGGGAAGCUCAGCUUCUUUUGUUCCAGAAAUUCCCUUUAGAUGCUUGGUAGUAAGUUGAGAAAAACAGAUCUGAUAAGCCUCUUGGUCACAAACCAGGUACUGCUGGUUCUUGCUGUUCCUGACCAGCUUCUCUCUGGGGUUCCCCAAGGCUGCUCAUGGCCCAGGAGCCCAUCCCAGUCCUCAGGGAUGUCAGCCCCUGUCCCAGGGACUGCACAGCAGGGCAGGUCUCCAGCUCCCCACUGCCUUGCCCUGCCCACCCACUGACCCUGUAGAGCCAGGCCCGUGUGCUGUCUGGCCUCAGCCCAUCCUUGUGGCCCUGUUUGGACACUGUGGGGCUGUGUCUGACCCUGUUCCCCUUGCUGGGCCUGACCCUGGCCCCCCUGUGCAGUCUGAUGUCCUGCCUGGCCCAGCCCAUCCCUGGACCCAUGGAGCUGCCUGAUGCCCUCAGCUCUGCCUGUCCCUGCCCUGCUGUAGAAUUCAGAGUCACAUCUUUAGUACAAAUUUAAAUGAGAAUUAUUAAUAGAUCUUUUAACUUACUUAGUGACAAAAGCCUGGAGGUUUUAGGGCAGUGACAAAUACACAGACACAGUCACAGAAACAGGAUUCUGCAGUGGGCACUGACAGCAUCAGUUCUUCAGCAGUGAGUCAGGUUCUCUGGCUCUGGUACAGCAAACAUGCAUUAACACUCUGCAUCUCCCAAUGUACACGAGUUUGCAGUGCACUAAUUUGAGGCUGGGGGAGAUUAUUUUCUUGCUUUUGCUCAUAAGGGGAAAAGGAAGUUGUGAACUGGUAAUCCUUAACACACCAACAAGGGUUUGUUAAAGUUUUUGGUGUAGGAGGUUCCACAACAUUUUUAAGUGGCCUGCUUCAAAUUUUAGAACAUCAGGGAAGAGUUUAUUUCUAUUAUUACAGGGUUUUUUUUUUCAAGUGACUUACAAUGAAAUUACUACAGAGACCUCUUAGCACUGCCACAAAUUCUGAAUGUGUACUGUCACUCUUCAGUGUCCCAUGACAGGUUUAAUGUAUCCUUAGCUCUUUUACUAAAGCUGUGGUAUGCUCCAUGUUUUAGAUAUACCAGUGGGAGCUUACUGAAGUAUUUUCUUUACUAUUUUAUCCUUAAAAUCUUUAUGUUUUUACAUCAAGGCAUGUGAGCUACAUUGACCUUGCAUGUAGAACUUGACAAGAGUUUGCCUUGAUGUAAACAUUUGUAUUUUGGAGAUUGUGAAAAUGAAAAGUUAUGGUCAACAAACUGGGAAGAAGAGAGGGACUGACUACACAGAGAAAAAAGCUUAUGUAAAAUUUAAGCUGAGCUUAUUAGUCAUUCAUCUUCUCUACCUUUUUGUCCUGUAACACUUUUUAAGAUGAUCAAUUACUGUCACAGUGAUUGCUAGUGAGGCGGUUGGGAAAGGGGAUAAACUCUGUAUUUGUGUAGGAUUCUGUGCUUUUGUCUGCUUGGUUCAUAUGUACAAUAAAGGAUUCUCGUGUAUUUUCAAAUAUUAAAAAAGUGAAAGGA